rnacentral:rRNA from 1 species
GGAAGCACCSGCUAACUCCGUGCCASCAGCCGCGGUAAUACGGAGGGUGCGAGCGUUGUUCGGAUUUAUUGGGCGUAGAGCGCGUGUAGGCGGUUUUUUAAGUCUGAURUGAAAGCCCCGGGCUCAACCUGGGAAGUGCAUUGGAUACUGGCAGACUUGAAUACGGGAGAGGGCAGUGGAAUUCCUAGUGUAGGAGUGAAAUCCGUAKAUAUUAGGAGGAACACCGGUGGCGAAGGCGGCUGCCUGGACCGAUAUUGACGCUGAGACGCGAAAGCGUGAUAGCAACAGGAUUAGAUACCCUGGUAGUCCACGCCGUAACGAUGAGAACUAGUGUCGCGGUA